GCGCGAGUGGCGGAAUUGGUAGACGCGCUGGAUUUAGGUUCCAGUGUCUGCGGACGUGGGGGUUCAAGUCCCCCCUCGCGUACCA
rnacentral:tRNA from 1 species